CGGGGAAUUUUGGACAAUGGGCGAAAGCCUGAUCCAGCAAUGCCGCGUGUGUGAAGAAGGCCUUCGGGUUGUAAAGCACUUUUGUCCGGAAAGAAAUCCUUGGCUCUAAUACAGUCGGGGGAUGACGGUACCGGAAGAAUAAGCACCGGCUAACUACGUGCCAGCAGCCGCGGUAAUACGUAGGGUGCAAGCGUUAAUCGGAAUUACUGGGCGUAAAGCGUGCGCAGGCGGUUUGCUAAGACCGAUGUGAAAUCCCCGGGCUCAACCUGGGAACUGCAUUGGUGACUGGCAGGCUAGAGUAUGGCAGAGGGGGGUAGAAUUCCACGUGUAGCAGUGAAAUGCGUAGAGAUGUGGAGGAAUACCGAUGGCGAAGGCAGCCCCCUGGGCCAAUACUGACGCUCAUGCACGAAAGCGUGGGGAGCAAACAGGAUUAGAUACCCUGGUAGUCCACGCCCUAAACGAUGUCAACUAGUUGUUGGGGAUUCAUUUCCUUAGUAACGUAGCUAACGCGUGAAGUUGACCGCCUGGGGAGUACGGUCGCAAGAUUAAAACUCAAAUGAAUUGACGGGGUCAUAGCUGUUUCCU
rnacentral:rRNA from 1 species